rnacentral:rRNA from 1 species
GACUUUAGGCAUACCAAUAAAUAGAGGAAAAAAAACUUACCAAGAUUCUCCUAGUAAUGGCGAGCAAACUGGAAAAGCCCAGCCUGAGAAUCAAGUGCCCUUGAUGUCUGAACUGUAGUCUAGAGAAACAUCCUCAAGGUCAUACCAAGCUUGAGAUCCUUGAAAAGGGGUGUUGUAGAGGGUGAAAGCCCUAUUGUGCCUGGACCCUAUCACACUACAAGGCACUAUCUACAAGUCAGGUUAUUUCGGAAUGCAGCCUCAAUCGAGCAAUAAAUUUCAUCCACCAAUAGUGAACAAGUACCAUGAAGAAAAAAUGAAAAGGACUUUGAAAAGAGUGUCAAAGAAUGCUUGAAAUUAUCGAGAGGAAAGUAGAUGAGGGCCAGUGAUAUGCCCUAGUUGGAUGUGAAAUGGCGAGAACUGGUUUACCGAUUGGCUUAGGAUGUGGAAUAACAUGGGUUGCAGUAGUUGCUUAAGCUCAGGCUUUCAAUAUCCUUUGAAGAUGUCAUCACUAUGAUCGUGGAAUGAUGCAAACACUAUCUUGGCAUGCUUCAACACAGGCAUGCUCCUGGCAUUAGCCUACAUCUCCCCAUCUGACCUGUCUUAAAACAUAGACCAAAGACUUUGACAUGUGUACGAGUCAAUGGGCUAGAAAACCCAUAAGGUGCAAAGAAGCUGAUUGGUGGGUCCAUCACUAGUGCACCAUCAAUUGACCUUGAUCUUCUGAGAAGGGUUCAAGUAUAAGCAUUCCUAUUGGGACCCAAAAAUGGUGAACUAUGCCUAAACAGGGCAAAGUUAGAAGAAACUCUAGUAGAGGCUUAUAGCAAUACUAAUAUGCAAAUCAUUCAUUUGACUUGGGUAUAGGGGUAAAAGACUAUUUGAACCAUCUAGUAGCUAAUUCCUUCCAAAGUUUCCCUCAGGAUAGCUAGAGCCCUUAACGAGUUCUAUCAUGUAAAGCUAAUGAUUAGAGGCAUCGGAGGUGCAACACCCUUGACCUAUUCUCAAACUUUAAAUAGGUAGGAUGACGUGGCUACUUCAUUGAGCUGGGCUAGGAAUAAAGAGCUCCAAGUGGGCCAUUUUUGGUAAGUAGAAUUGGUGAUACGGGAUGAACCAAAAGCUAAUUUAUAGUGCCAAAUUGCAUGCUAACCUAGAACACACAAAGUGUGCUGGUCGAUUAAAGAUAAUAGGACGGUGGUAAUGGGAAGUUGAAAUCCUUUAAGGAACAUGUAACAACUCACUUGUCGAAUCAACUAGCCCAAAAAUAGAUGGCACUUAAGCACAUGACCUAUACCCAGCCAUCAAGGCAAGGGCCAAGCCCUAAUGAGUAAGAAAGUGUAGCAGUCACCAUAAAACAUAUGGAAUGAAUCUAAACAGAACAGCUAUCAAUGUAAAUCUUAGUGGUAGUAGCAAAUAUUAAAAUGAAAACUUUAAAGGCCGAAGAAGGGAAAGAUUCCAUAUGAAUGGCACUUGUACAUGGGUUGUGGAUCCCAUGAGAUAGGGCCCAUCGUGUCCAGCACAAGCUUAAAAAAAGAAUCGAGUUAAAAUUCCUAAACUGGGAUGCAAUAGCUGACGAUAAUGUUAGGGAGUCUGGAGACAUCGGUGGAGGCCUUGGGAAGAGUUAUCUUUUCUAUUUAACUACCUACCCAUCUUAGAAAUGGCUCAGCCAGAGAUAGGGUCCAACAAAUGAAAGAGCAAUGCACAUCACGUGGUGUCCGGUGCACCCCCAAUGGCCUUUGAAAAUUUGAAGGAUCAAGUGUUAUCCAUACCCAAUCAUACUUAUAACUGUAUUAGGACUUUAAGGUGCCUCUGGUCGAUGGAACAAAGUAGGCAAGAAAAGUUGGCAAAAAGGAUCCUAACCUAAAAAAAAAGAACUGGCUCUAAUGGCUAGGCAUGGAGGUCCUAAUCCUAAACUUGUCAGCUGCCAGUGCAUUACUCAAGCAGCUCCUACAAUGAAAGUGGGAUGUUGGCCAAGGGACAAACUAGGAAUGGCUCCCUCGGGGGCCUUCCCUAGGUGACAAACAGUUGACUUAAAAGUGGUACGGAUAAGGGGAAUCUGACUAUUUAAUGAAAACAAAGCAUUAUGAUGGUCUUUGUGGAUGCUCACAUAAUGUGAUUUUUACCCAGUGCCCUGAAUGUCAAAGUGAAGAAAUUCAACCAAGUGCAAGUAAAUGGCGAGAGUAACUAUGACUCUUAUAAGGUACCCAAAUGCCCCAUCAUCUAAUUAGUGAUAUGCAUGAAUGGAUUAAUGAGAUUUCUAUUAUCCCUAUAUACUAUCCAAUGAAACCAUAGCCAAGGGGAUAGGCUUGGUAGAAUUAAUAGGGAAAGAAGACCCUUUUGAGGUAUACUCUAGUCUAAUUUUAUGAAAUGACUUGAGAGGUGUAGGAUAAGUGGGAGCCUUUAGGCAAAAUUGAAAUACCACUACUUUUAAUGUUAUUUUACUUAUUUUGUGAAUUGGAGAUGGGGCCCUUUUUUUUGGACCUAAGGCUAACCUCAGUUGAUCAAUUCAGGCAAAAAACAUUGUCAAGUAGGGAGUUUGGUUAGGGUGGCACAUUUGUUAAAAGAUAAUGUAGGUGUCCUAAGGUGAGCUCAAUGAGAAUAGAAAUCUCGUGUGAACAAAAUGGUAAAAGCUUAUUUGAUUUUGAUUUCUAGUAUGAAUAUUAAUCAUGAAAGCAUGGCCUAUCAAUCUUUUGGAACUUCAAAAUUUAAAGCUAAAGGUGUCAAAAAAGUUACCUGGGUUAACUGGCUUAUGAUAGCCAAACGUUCAUAAUGACAUUGCUUUUUGAUCCUUCGAUAGCGGCUCUUACUAUCAUUAUGAAGUAGAAUGCACCAAGUGUUGGAAUGUUCACCCACCAAUAGGGAAUGCGAGCUAGGUUUAGACUAUCAUGAGACAAGUUAUUUUACCCUAUUAAUGGUAGCGUCGCAAUAAGAAUUCAACUUGGUACAAGAAAAACCAUUUAUUCACAUAAUUGGCCAUUACGUUUGGUUGAAAAGCUAGUGGUGUGAAGCUAUCAUGCACUGGAUUAUGAUUGAAUGCCUCUAAGUUAAAAUCUAGGCUAGAAAUGGCACACGUUCCCAUCGUUUGAUUGCCAACAUACAGUAGAAGACCAUGGCCCUCAAGGGCAUGUGUCAUAGGUGUAGCCUCGAAAAAACAAAUAAGCCACGUGAGCCUCUUUGGAGCUCAAUUCCUCUUGA